AACGGAUCUCUUGGUUCUGGCAUCGAUGAAGAACGCAGCGAAAUGCGAUAAGUAAUGUGAAUUGCAGAAUUCAGUGAAUCAUCGAAUCUUUGAACGCACAUUGCGCCCGCCAGUACUCUGGCGGGCAUGCCUGUUCGAGCGUCAUUACAUCCCUCAAGCCCCAGCGGCUUGGUGUUGGGCUUCGGCCGUCCUCAGCGGCGGCCGUGCCCCAAAUACAGUGGCGGUCUCGCCCCCGGCUCCUCUGCGUAGUAGUAACAUCUCGCACUGGGACGGAGCGAAGGCCACGCCGUAAAACAACCCAACUUUCUGAAUG
rnacentral:rRNA from 1 species